UACGUAGGGAGCAAGCGUUGUCCGGAAUCAUUGGGCGUAAAGCGCGCGUAGGUGGUCCCGUAAGUCCGCUGUGAAAGUCAAAGGCUCAACCUUUGAAAGCCGGUGGAUACUGUGGGACUAGAGUACGGAAGAGGCGAGUGGAAUUCCUGGUGUAGCGGUGGAAUGCGCAGAUAUCAGGAGGAACACCAAUGGCGAAGGCAGCUCGCUGGGACGGUACUGACGCUGAGACGCGAAAGCGUGGGGAGCAAACAGG
rnacentral:rRNA from 1 species